rnacentral:sRNA from 1 species
CGAUAGCCCUGAUGGAAGCGGCAUCUCCCGAUUUAGAAAAACAAGGCUUUUCGGCCGUAGUUUUUAUUUAUAGGAAAUACAGCGGACAGCAGGACGGUUC